UAUUCAUCGUUUUACAUAAUAAAGGAACAGAGACGAUUAAAUUAAAUGGUGAGGAUGUGGGUUUAAAAAACAAAAAAAAAACCCCAAUACACACACUAAAAGGAAGCGGUGCGCGCAAAUUCCGUAAUUAGCUUUCAUAGGAUAUUCUGGAGGUCAAAAAACUUGUAAGAUUUAAGUCCAACAGCUUUAGAGAUGUAAAGCUCCUGAAUGGCUUAUGAGACUGCCGAACACAAAGACACGCAUAACAGUCUAAAGUUUAGGGACCUUCUGAAGCAGAUAUUAGUGAAACCUAAGAGACGGUUUCAGAAGAAGAGUACGGAAAGGGUAUGUCACUGAUAGUACUACACAAAACAACCAUCCUGUUCCCAGAACCUUUCCUAAAGCAACUGAUCCUGUCCACUGUCAGAGAUGGAGUGAAAGCAGAAGGAGGAAGAGAGGAAUUCGGAUCAGACCCAGAACCGUCCUCACGAAUUGGCCGUGUGUAAGGUAAGGUUUUGCUGCCUUUGCUAAAGAAGCUAAACGAUUAUAGAAAAGUGACAAGGAAGAUGACAGUGCCCAGCCAUAAGGGGAGGGAGCGAGCAAAACGAAGACCCGAAUUAGUUAAGCGGCGAGAGAGAGAGAGAGAGAGAGAGAGAGAAGAGAGGGAACACGGCCAAAAAGGGUAACGGAUAAACACGGACUGGGCUCACGGUAUAACGACGAACACGCCAGACUCCGGCCCUUUAUGCAGGGAACAGCCAAGCUCUGCAAAUAGCAAAUGUCUUCAUACGGACAGAGCUGAGUGAGGAUAUCUCAGAACUGGUACAGAACACAAGAUUCUGAGAAGAGACAUGCUGAAAGGGAUUUUCCAGUUAUCCUAUGAUGACGCAUCUACAAGCUCAGUUUUAUGAAGGAAAAACAGGAGGAAGAGAGAAGAGACUAGUGGCCAGUGUAUGGCAAUCAGAGAGAUAAAAGGUAAGUGCAGCAGUCCAAGAGACAGAUAAAGAAAGAGAUAAAAUGUGAAACACAAAUACCCAACGGAAGUUCCACAGAUACGGAUGCUUUCCCAGUAGGACAAUAUUCACAUAAUUCAAAUUUCUAGAGCCUAAUUUAGCUAGAUUAUUCUACCACACUCAAUGAAGAGGAAAACAAUCCUCAUUUCUCCAUCUCACACAAACAAAUGCCUGGAAGGAUGUGUCUGUUUUACUGAGCAAUGUCAUUCUGAAAGCCUUCGAAUAUGAGCAAUUGCAAAUAACUCUGAGGACUCUUUGGCCAUUUUCGAAGUACUUCCAGUGUCAGCACACCCAGAAUUUGGUAACUUACCAAGCAAAAACAAUGUGCACUGAUCAUGCCAGGUUUUUUUUGUCUGCUUGGCAUCGCUGUGUGAUUGGGUCAGCGAAAAGUCCUGUCCUGAAAGCAGCAACUCUUGUCCAGAGCAGCCUAUAUUUGUUUCUCUAGGCUGCAGACAACUGGCAUUGUAAUGCCAUUUGAAGCCUGACAUGGAAAGCACUGGCACAUUCACACACUAAUCCUCCCCAAACCUAGUCACUCACCCAAAUGGUAUUUGAAAUAACAAACAGAGAAGAGACCAUUUUCUUUUCGAAAAUUAGAAAAGAACCAAUGCUACAGAAGUCAGGGGUCCCAGCAAACAUGUACUGGGGCUAAUUGCUUUUGUUAUUCCAGUUGAUAAUGCCAAAACUUCAAGCCUCAGUACCAGAGUUGGAGAAAACUUUAUAGUGGUAAUACAAAAACUAGAAGUCACAACCCUGUCUAAUCCAAAUAGAGGCUGGCCAAUCUGUGCAUUUUAUAGCAUUUUUCUAUAUAAAGAAAAAAUUAUCUUAAUUUACGGUCCCCAGACAAAGAGUACACAGAAGGAGAACAGCAGGAACUUAACCAGCAUCAGGCAGUGACCAAGAAUGGCAGCUCAAGCAAUAAAAAGAGAAAGAAAAUUAGAAAUUACAGGAAACUAAAACUUUGGGAACAGAGUAACACAGCACAGUACUUUUUUUGGCUACAGUAUUUCACAGAAUUCCAGAUACCAGCAGUGGAUUGUAAAUUAUUUAAACUGAGGUGAGGAGAAAAUUCCAGGCAGGUACAAUUGUAAUUAACUCUCUGGAACAGAAAUUACCCCAAUUAAGUAUUAAGCAUCUACCUCCAAGGUUGGGUUGGGAGGUUUCUCUGUUUGUUUGUUUGAUAUUUGUUUUGGUUUGGGUGGCAUUUUUUUGCACAUCCAUGGUAUCUGUAUACAUACCAGAGGUAUAUACACAGGUAUGUGUACUGGAGCUGGAGACAAGUGUCCAUUGGCACCCUGCACUUCCAAACAUUACAGAAAGCUUUAUAAACUAAAAAAAACAAUUACAUUUGAAAAAGCAGAGGUUUGCUGGUAAUGGUAAAAAUACUUGCACCUUCACCUGCAGAAGUAACAUCAAGCUGCCAACAAAACCAAUAAAAGUUACUUAAAUAAGUAUUUUUUCAAAAGCUCUGAAAGAAAAGUCCUUCUCUACCUCAGUAAAAGUGGAGAUACACAUUUUUUUCCCUCUAAAUGAAGAUAAUACAAAUGAUAAAGAUGGUUGAAUACAAAACUGAAAGGCACCUCCAGAAGGAUUUUAAUUAGGAAUAUAAAUUUUUUUUAAAAACAGAAUAGCUGUUGUCUGCAAGUAGGCACUGAGCAAAAUGGUACAGAGAGUGCAGAGAACUUUUGAAACAAAACCCCCAUCUUCUUGUAAGUCUGAUGCCAAUGAAAACUAGUUUUUAGACAGCUUAAAGGAAAGGGAUACCGGUCUCAGACCACGUGCUGCUUGUGGCCUUCCUUCCCGCGGCCAGAACUCCUCGGAAGAACUGCUCCAGGGUCUGUUCUCCUGCAGGCAGGGCGGGGACGAGGGGAGCAGUGAGUCCUAAGGCGGCCUGGCAGCUGGAGCCUCUCCAGCCUCCCAGGGCAGGACUCCGGUUACACAGCGCUCACAGGGAGCCCCGGGGAUGUGACCUCGUGUGAACCCCUGACAAGGUCCUCAGGGCUCACCCUUGGCUGGAGACACCUGUCGCCAGCAGCUAUUUACAGCAAUCCUCACUGGUGACCAGUGGCACAAGGGAGCUGUGUCAGGAGCAGGUUUUAAUGCCCCGGGAACACCGAAGACAUCAGGCAAUGCUAUAAUGGGGAGAAUGCUCCCUUGCUUUAGUUUCUCGAUGGUUUUAUAUCCCACAGGUUUGUUUCUGCCAGCUUUACCACACAGCAAAGAAUCACCACUGCAGCAAGGUUUGGCAGAGGACACCUGAGAUGACCCUCGGACUCCCCUGUAAAUCUCAGCAUGACAGAAGUGUGGUUCUAGUGCUGUUUUCCUCAGUAUGUUGCCAGAGAAAAUAGAUCUAAGAAAUCAGUAAUUUCUAAAUAGCUCCUGCACUUCCAGACAACACCAGUAACUGACAGCUACGAGACAUAUUUCUUCUUGUCAAAUAGUGAUCAGUAAGAAGAAAUCACUGUGUCCAGAAUGGGAUCCUCAGGCUUAAUCACAGAAUCAUCACAGAACGGUUUGGGUUGGAAGGGACCUUAAAGACCAUCUUGUUCCAACUUCUCUGCCAUAACCUUCUCUUCCACUAGACCAGGUUGCUCAAAGCCCCUGUCAGCCUGGCCUUGAACACUUCCAGGGAUGAGGCAUCCACAACUUCUCUGGGCAACCUCGCCAGAGCCUCACCACCCUCACAGGAAAGAAUUUCCUCUCAAGGUCUAAUCAACUUAUGCACGAUGUUUCUUGGGGAAGAUCCUACAGCUGCUUCCUCUUCAAUAAAAUGGCAGAAAUACUCACCAUACAGAAGAUCCCACCCUAUCCAACAAUAACAGUUAUUCCUAGAUAAGCAUGUGAAAGGAAUACACAACCACUUCCAAAUACAAGAAAGUGCUUACGAAACUAAAGUGAAAUUUUGCAAUUGCUCUGUAGAGCAGGUAAACACUGCAAGACAUUUUAAAACAUACCUCUUAGAACAGCUCUAAUUCACUAACUUUAACAUAUACCAGACUGCUUCUUUUCUAAAUGAAAUGGUCUAAAUGUUCCACGGAAAUGGAAAUUUUUAAGGUUCUAGAUAUUUUAAUAUUUAGAUAUAUAUAUAAUGUCUUUAUAUAUAUAUAUAUUAUAUAUAUAAUAUAUUUAUAUAUAUUUUAUAUAUAUAUAUCUAGAUACUAGAAAUAUUUUUAUAUGUAAGCAGUGAUAAUCACUACCAAGAUACUUACUUCUGCUUUCUACCAGCUGUGUCACUUACAGCAGAUCAGACUGAGUAUUGUUUUUAAAUGUUGUUUGCACUGGAUUGUUUUAUGGACAAGCACAGGAGCUAUUCACACUUGAAUUAAAAUCCCAUUCAUACCUAGACCUUUCACAAAGGCAUUGGAAGUGCUGCACCACUUCUCAAGUCCAUUUGUUAAAAAGGCAGUCAAGAUGCAUCCAUCCCUCACUGGAGUCACCGAGGAAAAAGGCAACAAUAAUUCCAGAAUCUGCUAACACCUUUCCAGGUACUGUGACAACCUACCAUGGACCAGUGGACAAAAUAUGUUUAAUCUCAGUUUGACCUGUGUUUUAGAUAGAACCUCUCAAGGUUAGUAGUAAAAAAAAAUAAAUAAAAUUUUUAAAAGGAGUGCUAAAAAACCCCCAAGCAAAUUAAAUUAUAAUCCUGUAUCUUGUGCAAAUUACGGAUAGGUUUGCAUUUGCAUUAUUCUAAUUUUUGUAAAGGCACAGUAAACCAAAAUAUUGCAAACACCCUCACAGUUCAAAAUACUGAAUAUGUUGCCAUCGAUCAAUUUUAGUGUUUAACCCCAAUCUGAUGUUUUAUUGCAUCUGAUGUAUUAUUGUAUUCAUUUGAAAUCUGAAAUUUAGUUGAAAUUUUAACCUAGUAUAUCCUUAAAACUGAGACCAUGACAGCAUUUUUGUUGCUAUGCAAGAUUCUGUUGAAGUUACAUUGAUACAGAUAUAAUUAUUUAGUGUGAUUAUCUUUGGAAAGGCCAGUGAAAUAAAGUAUUUAGAUUCCUUAACAAACCCUUAAGAACUAGGUCCCUAAAACAACUGUUUAACCGAUCAUAUUACAUGCUUAACUUAAUAAAAGAUCUUAAGAAAGAGAAAUAGGAUGGGGUAGUAAAAUAAAGGUUUCAUUCUACUUGUUUUAGACAGUAACUCUGGUGCCAGAGGCAGGACGCUUUCAGAGACACUGAUUUAAUAACCUUAAUUACUUUAUGCUCAUGAUAUAUGUCAAGUUAACACCUGAAUUAGUUUUCACUGCAGGACAAACUCUAUUAGGAACACUGAUGCUUGUUCUUAAUGUUCUGUAAGAGGCACGACACAACACACUCAAAAACCACAUUCAUAAGUUAACCUUGCACUGCAGCAGCUUCUGAAUUAGCAGCAACAUCCGAAUUAGCAGCAGCUUCUGAAUUAGCAGCAGCUUCUGAAUUAGCAGUAGCUUCCUGCUGUGCUUCCUCCACAGCAGGGGAUGCCUCUGGAGCUGGUAAGUCAUUCUCCCCUCCAGCUUCUGGGGACUCCCCAGAGCUCUCAUCCUGUGCUGCAGGUCCAGCACUCUCAUCCUGUGCUGCAGGUCCAGCACUCUCAUCCUGUGCUGCAGGUCCCGCAGCGUCUGCUGCAUCAGCCUCUUCCGUGGCUUUCUCUGCUUCAGUGACUUCAUCCGUCUCUUCAUCACCUUCUAGGGAUUUAUUUAAUACAAUAAAGAGAGUAAAGUGCAUGCAUGCAACAAAAAUUUCAUCAACUACUUUUUACCACCAUCCUCGUUUAAAUUUAAAAUGGGAAGCUAAGCUUUGGGAUCAGAAUAAAAAACAAAAAAAAAAACCAGCAAAAAAUCAAUAAUUAAUCCCCCCAUAUUGUCUCAUGUGGCACCAAAAAAAAGAUGUUUACAAGAUGAGGAAACCAUAUUCUUAAUUACCGAGUUUCACAACUGCUUCAGUGGAAUAAGAAAAGAAACUGUGGCUUAAAGCAAGUGACUCUAAGAGGUGGGAGUGCAGGGAAGGAUGAAAAGGGACUUUGCCAAGUGCUGCUUCAGACCCACCCUGCUGAAAGGGCCAGUGAUGAUGCUAUCACAGGUGACACAGCGAGCAUGACUCUUGCCCUGUUUGCACCCAGCAGUGGAAUUAACACACUGGGAAUAAGACAUUUGCUAACCUACUUGGAAGCUCUUGCAGGUUAAAAGCACUGCAAGCCAAGGUGUGCCUUCAGUUUGCACAGGGCUGUUUUCAAGGUGGCUGACUUGGCUGCCAAUAGCUACAGUAAUGCUGUACCCAAGGAAUUUGCAGUUUUCAGAUGGGUUUGGGGCCUUCUCUUAGCUGCAAUCCCUGCUGCCUCUGCUUUCUCUAAAGCUAUAUUGAAUGCCCUGUGACCCCUGCGAGAGCCAUAGUGCUCAGAUAAGAAAGGCAAGGUCUGCAGGGCUGAAAAAAACCCUUAUUGAAACUAGGUGUAUACAAGUAAGAAAAUAACUUGCUACUUUUAAGUGGUCAGGAUUCACUUUCUUGAAGAUAGGACCACUUAUGACUAUUUUCUCCUUACAAGUCCCAGGUCUCUUUUAAAGACUUGUCUACACCACUGUGGGUCAGGCUCUUUAGAACCUCAAAAAAACAGUGUUUCCCAGUCAUGCAUUACUUCAAACUCAGCUGAGACAAGUCAUGAAAAACUAACAGCACAAAGCAACAAAGAUGCACAACCACCAUGCAGACAUGCACUAACACCAAGUUAACAAAAGAAAGUUAUAUACUAAGUGUUCAUCUCAAGUUCACCACUAGAACCAACUCACCAUGUGAAAAAACAGAACUGGAAAUAAUGUUUGUAAUACAGUGUAAAAACUACGUGAGAAUUGAAACAAAAGAGCUUAAAGAGACAUAAUCAGAAUUUAUGUUAUUCUUUUAAAUCUGUUUAAAAACUAAACAGAUGGAUUUUAUUUCUUGUUUUUCUUAUGCUAGUGCAAGCCUACCUUUUUGUGUUCAGAUUUAAAGACAAGUCCAUUCAUUGCUCAGUAAAAAAAUCAAAGCUUUACAUUAUGCAACCUGAUCAUGUCCCUUUAAGAAAACACUAUAUUUAAAAAAAAAAAACCAACCAAACUAAAUUCAUUACACAAAGAACAGACUAACAGCCAAGCUCAGCAUUCAGUACACUUUAUUGGACAGUCAAAUAUAGAGUGCAUUCAUCCAGAACAGCCAGCUUCUCCAUCUCAGAACUGCCUUCUACAAAGCAGGUUCAGUAAUAAGCUCAAUAUGGUUUGGCCUUGCAAACACAGGUAGUUCUUUUAAAGUCUCACAAGUAUGGAGUGUUACAAUAGAAGGUAUAAAGUCAUCCCAAGGUAGGCUGCAAGGUACGCAAUGGUGAACGACUGUCCUUUGUUUGUAUUUAACUUCCUCGGGUUUGGAAAGAGAUUUCCCUUGUAUUUUAGUCUGGAAAGUGUAAAAGCAGAGUAUAGAUUAGAAAGAUUGAAUCAGCUUGCAUCAUGUUAAAAAGAAAAGUCAUAGCUAAAAAGGAAGGAAAUCAGGAACAAGUUCAAAGGAGACACACACAAAUGGAAGACAAAACCCAGUAUUUGCUAAAUAAGCAACUAGAACGUCCUGCAAGCCAAACAUCAUUUUACAGUUCAAAUGAUGUCCCAGAUUUCCUACUGCUACUUCGAGUCUUGCUUCUGCCAGGGACUUUUUACAUCCCACUAAAUUUGAGAACAGAUUUCAGUUAAAAAGAGCUACA